rnacentral:tRNA from 1 species
GUGUUAUUAGUAUAAUUGUAUAGUUGCUUUCCACGCAAAAGGAUUUUCAUUAAGGGAAAUAACAUA